AUUGAACGCUGGCGGCAUGCUUUACACAUGCAAGUCGGACGGCAGCGGGGUAGUGCUUGCACUACUGCCGGCGAGUGGCGAACGGGUGAGUAAUAUAUUGGAACGUACCGAGUAAUGGGGGAUAACCAAUCGAAAGAUUGGCUAAUACCGCAUACGCUCUGAGGAGGAAAGCAGGGGACCUUCGGGCCUUGCGUUAUUCGAGCGGCCAAUAUCUGAUUAGCUAGUUGGUGGGGUAGGGCCUACCAAGGCGACGAUCAGUAGCGGGUCUGAGAGGAUGAUCCGCCACACUGGGACUGAGACACGGCCCAGACUCCUACGGGAGGCAGCAGUGGGGAAUUUUGGACAAUGGGCGCAAGCCUGAUCCAGCCAUGCCGCGUGUCUGAAGAAGGCCUUCGGGUUGUAAAGGACUUUUGUUAGGGAAGAAAAAGGAGCGGUUAAUACCCGUUUCUGCUGACGGUACCUAAAGAAUAAGCACCGGCUAACUACGUG
rnacentral:rRNA from 1 species